rnacentral:snRNA from 1 species
AUCCCAGUGCAAGGGCUUUAUCUGCAUCAGUGAGGACCCAGUCCGAGACCAGAUUAUUGCUAGUUGAAAAUUAAAUUUUUGACUGCUUCUAUCGGCCUUCGCGAGAAGGAAGAUAGGGAAUUUUUGGAACAAAAUUAC